rnacentral:rRNA from 1 species
AUUGAACGCUGGCGGCAGGCUUAACACAUGCAAGUCGAACGGUAACAUAAAGAAGCUUGCUUCUUUGAUGACGAGUGGCGGACGGGUGAGUAAUGCUUGGGAAUCUAGCUUAUGGAGGGGGAUAACUACGGGAAACUGUAGCUAAUACCGCGUAAUAUCGAAAGAUUAAAGUGUGGGACCUUCGGGCCACAUGCCAUAGGAUGAGCCCAAGUGGGAUUAGGUAGUUGGUGAGGUAAAGGCUCACCAAGCCGACGAUCUCUAGCUGGUCUGAGAGGAUGACCAGCCACACUGGGACUGAGACACGGCCCAGACUCCUACGGGAGGCAGCAGUGGGGAAUAUUGCGCAAUGGGGGCAACCCUGACGCAGCCAUGCCGCGUGAAUGAAGAAGGCCUUCGGGUUGUAAAGUUCUUUCGGUAGCGAGGAAGGCAUUUAGUUUAAUAAACUAGGUGAUUGACGUUAACUACAGAAGAAGCACCGGCUAACUCCGUG